UAUAAAUUCACAACAUGGUAUAGCUGACUUUCAUCCAUUACUUAAAACUUCUUUGAUCUAUAUAAUACAGUUGCAACUUAUUAUAUUAGCAACUAAAGGAGCAACUUCAGAUGCAACCUUAGAGGUGAAAUGUCCUGUUUCUCUCAACAUCCCCAGCCUGAUUUGUGGUUCUAACAGUUGAAAGUUACUUCAGAAUACCUGCCAAGCACAUUUCACUGCUUGUCCCUUUGAAACUGAGUGCAAUGAAGAGAACAUGUACCAGGCAGACAAUAUUCUCAGACUGGAAUAAGCCCUGUGUCCUUGAAUGUUAUAUAUGGGUCAACCACCAGCAUCUUCCAAGAGGAUUGCAGUGCCAUGCUCCCUGAGAGAAGGCUGGCUGACAAAGAAGGAAAAUUGCAUAGGCUGAACAAGUGGAUACAACAUGAAUGGUGACGUUGGAUGAUGUAAAAUGGCGGCAUCACUGGAGCUCAUUGUAGUGAGUUAAAAUCCUGGAUGCACACACCCCGUGGGACAGUGGAGGAGAAGAGGAAGAAAAAGAACAAGAACAAGGAUGAGCAUUCCUCUAUCCUGACAGAUGACUUCAGUUUGCCCCCCUGAGAAGCCCCAGAGGAAGGCUGAGCAGUGGCAGCACUGUGCUCCAGAGAGCAAUGGCAGAAGGUGGCUGCAGUCAGAGCAGCUGGCAGCACUGGUGUCUGUGGGACAGCAUGGUUUCACUUUGCUCAGUAAAUCACUUUGAAAUUGCAGCUUAAGAUGCCCAACUCAUUUGUCAGAGCUAGGAGAGUUUGACACACAAGACUGGGCUGGGUGACUGGACAUCUAGGCUGUAAUUCCUGGUCCUUCAUCUUAAUGCCUUUGUCGGGCCAUUUCUGAGGAGAUUAUGUUCCUGGCUGAUUUUGACAACUGCUUUGACACCUGCAGAUGAAUAUGAUUAUUGAUUUCAGUGCCAACUCUGUUUUUCUAAAGAGUUAGCAAAAUAACCAGCAGGCAUAACUUAGUAGAGCCAAAAAAUUGGUGCAAUUUUGCUUCUGAAGGAAGCUAUUCUAUUCCAGAAUCUCUAAUAUGUUGUGUUCACUUGCUGUUUUGUUUUUUUUUUUUAAUUUCCUUUCCUAUCUUUCUUUUUUUUCCUUGGAUAGAAUGAACCUUAAUUAUGACUAUUUUACCUAUAAAACUGUCUGUACCUGCCAAAUAUUAAAAAGUUAGCAUGGAAAUUUUACCAAGGAUGAAAUCCUGACUUGGUAAUAGCUGAUAAAAAUCAGUGGAAAAAUAAUGGAUGAUUAAGUGGAAGAAAACCACAGAUGUAAUAUUUCAUCAUUGCUAAGAAGAGAAAUUUGACACAUUAGUGCCAGUUUGGAAGUUUUUCAAUAAAAUAUAUGAAUGCAGAAUAAGAAGAAUACAAUUAUAUUACCCUUGCAAUAUGUGGUUCAGUUUUUAAAAGGAUGAAAAUUUGCAGCACAAUUAUGAUGAGAAAUGUACUUCUUCUGGAGUGACCAAUAGCCCAGGGACGGAUCACUUCUGUGGGAUGGCCCUGCACUGCCUGAUUGAGACAGACACUUGGAGUGCAGGUUCACAGCUAAUACUUAGCCUGGCACAUGUGAUAUUAAAUGCCUAAGUAGCAUUGUGGCCUAGGCUUGUUUUCCAUGUGUCAGGUGAGUCCUUUUACCAUUGGAUGAGGCUGCUGUGGCCUGCAGCUUCUCUUUAAGCUUUUCAUUAGACAUCCGUUCUGGUACACAGCAAAACUAUUUAAAUAUGACCUCUUAGAAAUUUUAGGUGAUGGAAACCUUCUCCCAGAGAAGAAUAAAUAUAAAAGAUAGAUUUAGAACUG